GAUGAACGCUGGCGGCGUGCCUAAUACAUGCAAGUCGAGCGAACAGACGAGGAGCUUGCUCCUCUGACGUUAGCGGCGGACGGGUGAGUAACACGUGGAUAACCUACCUAUAAGACUGGGAUAACUUCGGGAAACCGGAGCUAAUACCGGAUAAUAUAUUGAACCGCAUGGUUCAAUAGUGAAAGACGGUUCUGCUGUCACUUAUAGAUGGAUCCGCGCCGCAUUAGCUAGUUGGUAAGGUAACGGCUUACCAAGGCAACGAUGCGUAGCCGACCUGAGAGGGUGACCGGCUACACUGGAACUGAGAAACGGUCCAGACUCCUACGGGAGGCAGCAGUAGGGAAUCUUCCGCAAUGGGCGAAAGCAUGACGGAGCAACGCCGCGUGAGUGAUGAAGGUCUUCGGAUCGUAAAACUCUGUUAUUAGGGAAGAACAAAUGUGUAAGUAACUAUGCACGUCUUGACGGUACCUAAUCAGAAAGCCACGGCUAACUACGUG
rnacentral:rRNA from 1 species